rnacentral:rRNA from 1 species
UACAGAGGGGGCGAGCGUUGUUCGGAAUUACUGGGCGUAAAGGGCGCGUAGGCGGCCUCUUAAGUCGAACGUGAAAUCCCCGGGCUCAACCCGGGAACUGCGUCCGAUACUGGGGGGCUUGAAUCCGGGAGAGGGAUGUGGAAUUCCAGGUGUAGCGGUGAAAUGCGUAGAUAUCUGGAGGAACACCGGUGGCGAAGGCGGCAUCCUGGACCGGUAUUGACGCUGAGGCGCGAAAGCCAGGGGAGCAAACAGG